UACGUAGGGUGCAAGCGUUGUCCGGAAUCAUUGGGCGUAAAGCGCGCGUAGGCGGCCCGAUAAGUCCGCUGUAAAAGUCAACGGCUCAACUGUUGAAAGCCGGUGGAUACUGUCGGGCUAGAGUACGGAAGAGGCAAGUGGAAUUCCUGGUGUAGCGGUGGAGUGCGCAGAUAUCAGGAGGAACACCUAUAGCGAAGGCAGCUUGCUGGGACGUUACUGACGCUAAGGCGCGGAAGCGUGGGGAGCGAACAGG
rnacentral:rRNA from 1 species